GAUCUCCUUCACUGCGGAAGAAAAGAUGAAUACUCCGAUCGGGAAUACUAGUUUCGACUAUCGCUACGUUAGCGUCAAAGACACGAUUGUGAAGAGACCUGUGCAACGCUGCAAUGCCACAAAGCAACGUCAAAAGCCACAAAGAGAAUCCUUUGAAAAUAUCAAAUACUUUUCGCAGACCACGAGCUAUUUCACCAACCAAGUGAAGUUGAUAGUUGGAGUAAGAAAGAUUUCUUUCCAAGAAAAACAGCUUAUUAGAUGGGCUUCUCUACGUCAAUAAGAGAACAUCGCUUCAAUAAUUGUCAAGAAUUUUCCAGGGAAAAGCACGGAUUGCCGGCGUCUAGCCGGCCAGUUAUCCCACGACGACGUCAGGAAAAACGAUGACCGGAAGGCGAGAGAGGUCAGCCGGGGUUCACGCGAGUUCGACGGCCGGUCGAUUCCGGAAAUCGGAAGGGAUGACGCCGUAGAUACGACUCCUUUAUCUUGGAACCAAGUAUGACGUGCAGAGUCUUUCUUGGAAAACUUUGCGUUUCGCCUUGACAUCCAUUCGUUGACUUCGAGGAAAUUUCGAGCGGAAAAUCGAUCACGCGACAAAGCGGUAUUGAGCCUUGACCGCGCACGAACCAUAUUUGGUUUCAUGAAAGAAUGGCGAAUGAAAAAAUAAAUGGGAAUGAAAUAAAGAACAAAUAGAUAAUAAAUGAAUGAAAAAAAAAAACACAAAUGGAGAACAAAUGAGGAAGAAAUGAGGAAUAAAA
rnacentral:misc_RNA from 1 species